UACGGGAGGCAGCGGUGGGGAAUAUUGCACAAUGGGCGCAAGCCUGAUGCAGCCAUGCCGCGUGUAUGAAGAAGGCCUUCGGGUUGUAAAGUACUUUCAGUCGUGAGGAAGGUGUUAAGGUUAAUAACCUUAGCAAUUGACGUUAGCGACAGAAGAAGCACCGGCUAACUCCGUGCCAGCAGCCGCGGUAAUACGGAGGGUGCGAGCGUUAAUCGGAAUUACUGGGCGUAAAGGGCACGCAGGCGGUUAAUUAAGUUGGAUGUGAAAUCCCCGGGCUUAACCUGGGAAUGGCAUUCAAGACUGGUUAGCUAGAGUCUUGUAGAGGGGGUAGAAUUCCGAUGUGUAGCGGUGAAAUGCGUAGAGAUGUGGAGGAAUACCGGUGGCGAAGGCGGCCCCUGGACAAAGACUGACGCUCAUGUGCGAAAGCGUGGGGAGCAAACGAGGGAUUAGGAUA
rnacentral:rRNA from 1 species